UGGAAACUAUUUUCUUAAACUGCGGGAGCC
rnacentral:piRNA from 1 species